rnacentral:rRNA from 1 species
UACGUAGGGUGCAAGCGUUAAUCGGAAUUACUGGGCGUAAAGCGUGCGCAGGCGGCGAUGUAAGACAGAUGUGAAAUCCCCGGGCUCAACCUGGGAACUGCAUUUGUGACUGCAUUGCUGGAGUGCGGCAGAGGGGGAUGGAAUUCCGCGUGUAGCAGUGAAAUGCGUAGAUAUGCGGAGGAACACCGAUGGCGAAGGCAAUCCCCUGGGCCUGCACUGACGCUCAUGCACGAAAGCGUGGGGAGCAAACAGG